GACACAACUGUGGCUGUCUGUGUUUUGGUCAAUCACUUUUUCUGGUAGUGUCAAACCUGUGUUAUUAUCUACCACAUGCCCCAUGUUGUAGAGCUGUGUUUACAUUGUGCUAAAUUAAGCAGCAGUUGGGCAAAUACUUGCACAAUAUGAUCAAUAACUAUACUUAAUACAGUCACUACUUGGUAAUAUUGUCAGAAAAUUUAAUUUGUUCUUAGCGGAAGAAAAUAAUUGGCUUUGCCAUAUUGCCUAGCAUAAUUUGGAAGAAAGUGUGCAGGUGUAGUUAGCAACCUAUGCAGAACGAUCAAUCAGACUCACAGCUGAAGGACCUUGGUGAGAUGACGUCAUUGUACAGAUCCAAAACGCUGCACGAGACGACCUUGGUUCCCAUCAUUUUCCAGCCCUAGCGGUGUGCUCUAAAGAGCUAACGUUUAUCUUAACUGUUUUGAAUUCAGCUCAGUAGGAGAUCUCACUGAAGGAACAGGCAAACAGCGCAACUUCCUCUGAUAAGGCUGGAGUGCAGUGGCGUGAUCUCGGCUCGCUAAAACCUCCACCUCCCAGCCGCCUGCCUUGGCCUCCCAAAGUGCCCAGAUUGCAGCCUCUGCCCGGCCGCCAUCCCGUCUGGGAAGUGAGGAGCGUCUCUGCCUGGCCGCCCAUCGUCUGGGACGUGAGGAGCCCCUCUGCCCGGCCGCCCAGUCUGGGAAGUGAGGAGCACCUCUUCCCGGCCGCCAUCCCGUCUAGGAAGUGAGGAGCGUCUCUGCCCGGCUGCCCAUCGUCUGAGAUGUGGGGAGCACCUCUGCCCCGCCACCCCGUCUGGGAUGUGAGGAGUGCCUCUGCCCGGCCGCCCCGUCUGGGAUGUGAGGAGUGCCUCUGCCCAACUGCCACCCCGUCUGGGAGGUGAGGAGUGUCUCUGCCCGGCCACCCUGUCCCAGAAGUGAGGAGCCCCUCCGCCCAGCAGCCACCCCGUCUGGGAAGUGAGGAGCGUCUCUGCCUGGUCACCCAUCGUCUGGGAAGUGAGGAGCGUCUCCGCCCGGCAGCCGCCCCGUCCAGGAGGUGGGGGGCAGCCCUCGCCCGGCCAGCUGCCCCAUCCGGGAGGGAGGUGGGGGGCAGCCCCCGCCCGGCCGCCCCGUCUGGGAAGUGAGGAGCCCCUCUGCCCUACCGCCACCCCGUCUGGGAGGUGUACCCAACAGCUCAUUGAGAACGGGCCAUGACGACGAUGGCGGUUUUGUCAAAUAGAAAAGGGGGAAAUGUGGGGAAAAGAAAGAGAGAUCAGAUUGUUACUGUGUCUGUGUAGAAAGAAGUAGACAUAGGAGACUCCAUUUUGUUCUGUACUAAGAAAAAUUCUUCUGCCUUGGGAUGCUGUUAAUCUAUAACCUUACCCCCAACCCCAUGCUCUCUGAAACAUGUGCUGUGUCCACUCAGGGUUAAAU
rnacentral:lncRNA from 10 species